rnacentral:rRNA from 1 species
GACGAACGCUGGCAGCGUGCUUAACACAUGCAAGUCGAGCGGAAAGGCCCUUUCGGGGGUACUCGAGCGGCGAACGGGUGAGUAACACGUGAGUAAUCUGCCCUUGGCUUCGGGAUAACCACCGGAAACGGUGGCUAAUACCGGAUACGACCAGCCCCGGCAUCGGGUGUUGGUGGAAAGUUUUUUCGGCCAGGGAUGUGCUGGCGGCCUAUCGGCUUGUUGGUGGGGUAAUGGCCUACCAAGGCUUCGACGGGUAGCCGGCCUGAGAGGUUGACCGGCCACACUGGGACUGAGACACGGCCCAGACUGCUACGGGAGGCAGCAGUGGGGAAUAUUGGACAAUGGGCGAAAGCCUGAUCCAGCAACGCCGCGUGAGGGAUGACGGCCUUCGGGUUGUAAACCUCUUUCAGUACCGACGAAGCGCCGAUGAUGGUGGUGACGGUAGGUACAGAAGAAGCACCGGCCAACUACGUGCCAGCAGCCGCAGUAACAC